GACGAACGCUGGCGGCGUGCUUAACACAUGCAAGUCGAACGAAGUGGCGAACGGGUGAGUAACGCGUAAUCAACCUGCCCUUCAGAGGGGGACAACAGUUGGAAACGACUGCUAAUACAGCAUACUGAAGGAGGGGAUUUCGUUUGAGUAGGUAGUUGGGGGGGUAACGGCCCACCAGGGCGAUGAUCAGUAGCCGGUCUGAGAGGGUGAACGGCCACAUUGGGACUGAGACACGGCCCAGAAUCCUACGGGAGGGAGCAGUGGGGAAUCUUCCGGAAUGGACGAAAGUCUGACGGAGCAACGCCGGGUGAGUGAAGACGGCCUUCGGGUUGGAAAGCUCUGUUAAUCGGGACGCGGUACCGGAAUAGAAAGCCACGGCUAACUACGUGCCAGCAGCCGCGGUAAUAC
rnacentral:rRNA from 1 species